UACAGAGGGUGCAAACGUUGCUCGGAAUCAUUGGGCGUAAAGCGCACGUAGGCGGCCCAGCAAGUGGGGAGUGAAAGCCCUCGGCUUAACCGAGGAAGUGCUUUCCAAACUACUGGGCUUGAAUACUGGAGAGGGUCGCGGAAUUCCCGGUGUAGAGGUGAAAUUCGUAGAUAUUGGGAAGAACACCAGUGGCGAAGGCGGCUCACUGGCCCGUAACUGACGCUGAGGUGCGAAAGCGUGGGGAGCAAACAGG
rnacentral:rRNA from 1 species